AGAGAGAGGAGGAGGAGGAGGAGAGACAGAGAGCGCUUAAAAUCGUGAACGGCAGCAGUAGAGAGCGGGAGAAUUACAGGGAUGUCUUUGUCUAAUUCCAAUCAAUUCUUUGUCAUUAUACGCCUUCCUUGUUCUCUCCCUAAACCCCAAUAUCGAGGAGAUUCAACAAGGUUCCAUCUUAAGCUUCAACAAGAUUUUGCUACGGCGUGUGUUGGUAGAAAGUUCAAUUCGAAGAAGGCUUACCAACUCAUAUGACUUGUUAUUUUGUAUUCUCCGUGUUUAUGUUUGAUACUAAUGGUAAAAGGGUAAAGUUA